UACGUAGGUGGCAAGCGUUGUCCGGAUUUACUGGGCGUAAAGAGCGCGCAGGCGGCCUUCUAAGUCGAACGUGAAAUCCCCGGGCUCAACCCGGGAACUGCGUCCGAUACUGGAAGGCUUGAAUCCGGGAGAGGGAUGUGGAAUUCCAGGUGUAGCGGUGAAAUGCGUAGAUAUCUGGAGGAACACCGGUGGCGAAGGCGGCAUCCUGGACCGAGACUGACACUGAGGAGCGAAAGCCAGGGGAGCAAACGGG
rnacentral:rRNA from 1 species